CAGUAGCCACGGUAAUACGUAGGGUGCAAGCGUUAAUCGGAAUUACUGGGCGUAAAGCGUGCGCAGGCGGUUAUAUAAGACAGAUGUGAAAUCCCCGGGCUCAACCUGGGAACUGCAUUUGUGACUGUAUAGCUAGAGUACGGCAGAGGGGGAUGGAAUUCCGCGUGUAGCAGUGAAAUGCGUAGAUAUGCGGAGGAACACCGAUGGCGAAGGCAAUCCCCUGGGCCUGUACUGACGCUCAUGCACGAAAGCGUGGGGAGCAAACAGGAUUAGAUACCCCGUAGUCCCUGUCUCUUAUACC
rnacentral:rRNA from 1 species